rnacentral:tRNA from 2 species
AGGACGGUAGCUCAAUUGGCAGAGUAGCGGUCUCCAAAACCGUUGGUUGGGGGUUCGACUCCCCCCCGUCCUGCCA